rnacentral:lncRNA from 1 species
UCUCAUUUUCAUUAAAAUUUUAUAUCUCCUUUUUUUCCUCCCUCACGCUUCUCUGACUCACAAACAAACAAAACCAAAACAAAAUCCACCCAAAUAGAUCAAACACGCCUGUUUUCAGAAGAAAAAAAACUCAAGAACAAAGUGAUUAACAUUUGAAUGUUCAUCACUAUUUUUCAUAUUUUCCCCAAACUUCAUCAAAAUUCAAAACUAUAAACACAAACCCUAAUUAAAA